rnacentral:rRNA from 1 species
AUUGAACGCUAGCGGGAUGCCUUACACAUGCAAGUCGAACGGCAGCGCGGACUUCGGUCUGGCGGCGAGUGGCGAACGGGUGAGUAGUGUAUCGGAACGUGCCCAGUAGCGGGGGACAACCACUCGAAAGAGUGGCUAAUACCGCAUACGCCCUACGGGGAAAGGGGGGGAGUCGCAAGACCUCUCACUAUUGGAGCGGCCGAUAUCGGAUUAGCUAGUUGGUGGGGUAAAGGCCUACCAAGGCGACGAUCCGUAGCUGGUUUGAGAGGACGACCAGCCACACUGGGACUGAGACACGGCCCAGACUCCUACGGGAGGCAGCAGUGGGGAAUUUUGGACGAUGGGGGAAACCCUGAUCCAGCCAUUCCGCGUGUGCGAUGAAGGCCUCGGUUGUAAGCGACUUUGGUCAGGAAAGGAAAUACGUGUGGUUAAGUACCUGCGCGGACUGACGGUACCUGCAGAAUAAGCACCGGCGUAACUACGU